rnacentral:rRNA from 1 species
GACGAACGCUGGCGGCGUGCUUAACACAUGCAAGCCGAACGCUGAAGCUCAGCUUUUGUUGGGUGGAUGAGUGGCGAACGGGUGAGUAACACGUGAGUAACCUGCCUCCUUCUUUGGGAUAACGCCCGGAAACGGGUGCUAAUACUGGAUAUUCACUGGUCUUCGCAUGGGGGUUGGUGGAAAGGGUUUUUCUGGUGGGGGAUGGGCUCGCGGCCUAUCAGCUUGUUGGUGGGGUGAUGGCCUACCAAGGCUUUGACGGGUAGUCGGCCUGAGAGGGUGACCGGUCACAUUGGGACUGAGAUACGGCCCAGACUCCUACGGGAGGCAGCAGUGGGGAAUAUUGCACAAUGGGCGCAAGCCUGAUGCAGCGACGCCGCGUGAGGGAUGGAGGCCUUCGGGUUGUGAACCUCUUUCGCUCAUGGUCAAGCCGCAACAAUGGUUGUGGUGAGGGUAGUGGGUAAAGAAGCGCCGGCUAACUACGUG